UACGGAGGAUCCAAGCGUUAUCCGGAUUUAUUGGGUUUAAAGGGUGCGUAGGCGGCUUAUUAAGUCAGGGGUGAAAGACGGUGGCUCAACCAUCGCAGUGCCUUUGAUACUGAUGAGCUUGAAUAAACUUGAGGUAGGCGGAAUGGGUCAUGUAGCGGUGAAAUGCAUAGAUAUGACCCGGAACACCUAUUGCGAAGGCAGCAGGCUAAACAAAUAUUGACGCCGAGGCUCGAAAGCGUGGGGAUCAAACAGGG
rnacentral:rRNA from 1 species